rnacentral:rRNA from 1 species
AUGGACACGGCCAUCAGUGCAGCAGUGUGGGUGGUAGGCAAGGCGCUGGCCCCUGUUUCGGAUGGCUUGCUGGAGAACUGGGCGGCCUGCGACAGUCUCGGCCCCAACAUCAGCACCCUUAAGAGGAAGUUGCUUCAUGCGCAGGGGAUACUAUACACCGCGCACGGCAGGGACAUCACCAACCCUGCGCUCAAGGACCAGCUGCACAUGCUGCGGCAGCUGGCGGACGAGGCGAACGACGUGCUCGAUGAGCUGGACUACUUCUGCAUCCAGGACAAACUCGACAGCACCUACGAUGCCGCUGAUAACCAUCCCGGGGGCUGCAUCCACAACCUCAACCUCAAUGUGCGGCACACUGCCAGAGCUUUUUUUGCCAAUAAAUUCAAGAUUUCCCCAUGCUGGCAUGAUGCUAAUGGCGACGAUCUUGACUCCCAAGAAGAUGAUGCAAAACAAGGAUGCCUAUCUGUUGUCCGCACAUGCGGCGGGAAGCGUGUUGUUGGCAGUGGAUGCAUACCGAAGGGAGUCUCUAGUGGUGCUCAUGUUGCCGGCCACGUUGUUACUACUCAGACAGGCAUGUCAGAACCCUUGAAGGCACCACUAGUAGUUGGAGAAAAAAAUAAGUUUCAUUGUGUGGAGAUGUCUAAGAAGAUGGCAGAAAUUGUACAACAGCUGGAACCAAUGUGCGCUGAGGUGAAGGACAUCCUUGAUCUGGAGCUCCGCAAACCUACCCAAGGCAGCAUUACUGGAAACAGACCCACAACCACCCCAGCAAUAAUAGAGAUUGAGUUAUUUGGAAGGAAUGCUGAGAAAAAGGACAUUCUAGAUGGCAUUAACAAUGGAAAAUAUUGUACCGAUGGGCUCACCGUGCUUCCAGUUGUUGGCCCAGGGGGUAUUGGGAAGACGACUUUCAUACAACAUGUUUAUCGAGAAGUGAAGAGCUCUUUUGAUGUUAUGAUUUGGGUAUGUGUGUCUCUGAGUUUCAAUGCAAAUAGGCUGACACAAGAGAUUGUGCAAAACAUCCCUAAGGUUAAUGGUGAAACGGAAAAUACUGUUGCAGAAGAGCUUAUUGAGCAGAGGUUAAGACAUAAGAGAUUUUUGCUCGUCUUGGAUGAUAUGUGGAUAUAUCAUGAGUAUGAGUGGAAAAAACUGUUAGCUCCCUUUGAAAAAGGACAUGAAAGAGGUAAUAUGGUUAUUGUCACUACCAGAAUUCCAGAGACAGCAACAAUGGUAAAAACAAUUGAUUAUCCGGUAGAUCUGACUCGCUUAGGAGCUGAUGAUUUUAUGCAUUUAUUUGAAAAAUAUGUAUUUGGCGACCAGGAGGCAUGGAAAGAUCAUCCUAAAUUGCUUGAUGUUGGUAAAGAAAUAGUGGUCAAUUUGAAGGGUUUCCCUCUUGCAGCAAAAACUGUAGGUAGAUUACUGAGAAACCAACUUACAUUGGACCAUUGGACAAGAGUUUUAGAAAGCAAAGAAUGGGAGUUACAAACUAGCGACUAUGACAUUAUGCCAGCUCUGAAGCUAAGCUAUGAUUACCUCCCUUUCUAUCUUCAGCAGUGUUUUUCCUAUUGUGGUUUGUUCCCCGAAGAUUAUGAGUUUGGUAGCAAAGAGUUGGUUCACUUAUGGAUAGGGCUUGACUUUUUAGAUUCAUGUGAUGGAAGGAAAACCAUUGAAGAUGUUGGGUUGCGAUAUUUAAAUGACUUGGUUAAUAGCGGUUUUCUCAAGAAGACCGAAAAAGAUGAUGGCAGCCAUUGUUAUGUUGUUCAUGACCUACUGCAUAACUUGGCAGUGAAGGUUUCAUCAUCAGAGUGCCUUAGCAUAUCAAGUUCUAAUGUGAGAUAUGUACACUCUUCCCUAUCUGUACGUCACUUGUCUAUCAUUGUAAAUGAGAGCGAUGUCAACGACAGAUUGACCUUUGAUGAUUUUAAGAGCGACUUGAGUGCAUUACAUACAAAGUUGAAGGUUGAAAAGCUACAAACUGUGAUGCUAUUUGGAAAAUACCAUGGAAGCUUUGCAAAGGCUUUUGGUGAUUUGUUUGCAGAAGCAAAAGCCCUUCGUGUUAUUCUUUUGUCUGAAGCAUCUUAUAGUUAUAAGUUGGAGGAUGUGUUCCACAACAUUUGGAGAUUUUUCCAUCUUCGCUACCUAAGGAUAAUUGCAGGAGAUUUGACAAAAUUAAGUUUGAACAGCAAUAUCUCAAGAUUUUAUCACCUGAGGGUCCUUAAUUUUCAACAAUGCAAUGUCAACCUUGGUCCUCUCAGAGCAAUAAGCAACCUUGUAAAAUUGCGGCAUUUUCUUGUCAAGGACAUCGGUUUUGAAUUAAAGCAGAUAGCACAGUUAGCAGAGCUUGGUGGGUUGCUGAGAAUCCAUAAUAUUGAGAAUGUUGAACGAAAGGAAGGAGCGAACAAAGCAAACUUGAUACACAAAAACCACUUAGAGAAGCUAAUAUUGCGAUGGGGUGUUUAUGGGGACAACGCAAAUUCUGUGCAAGAACAGGUUCUCGAAAUUCUAAAACCACAUAGCAAUCUCCUAGAUCUGCACAAUGAAGGGCAUAGAGGUGCUGCUUGCCCGUCAUGGCUAGGUGGGAACCUCUCGGUUAAAAAUUUGGAAUCUCUUUGUUUGCAUGAUAUAGGUUGGAAAACUCUUCCACCUCUAGGAGAGUUGUGGUCUGUUGGUGAGCUUGGUGAAGAGCGUCAAAGUAGUAUCCCAAGUCAAAGUUUUCAAAAUCUGAAAAGGCUAGAAUUAGUUAAAAUACCAUGGUUGAGAAGAUGGGUUGAAAAUAGCACUUGUCGUUUGUUCUCUCAGCUAGAAGUGCUCAUUGUUAAAGGUUGCUCUGAACUUGUGGAGCUGCCAUUUUCACGCUGUCAAUCAGAGCAAGAAGCUGCAAACAUGACUUGGUUUCCUAGAUUACAGAAGCUCGAGAUUAUGGACUGCCCGAAACUGCUGUCAUUGCCUCCUAUCCCUUGGACUCUUGGUCCAUGCUCUGCCGAGAUAAUGGGGGUUGGAUCUGGUUUUGAGGAGCUGUGGUACUCAAAAGAACACUCGUCUAAACUAUUAAGCUUGAGUAUUACGGGGAAGGGUGGUCAAGAUGGCAUGUUCUGGAAUAUUUUAGCAUUCUCUAAUCUAGCUGAUCUAAACGAGCUGCGCUUGAAGAAUUGCUCUCCUUUGCCAAUGGAUCAUCUCCAGAAGUUAACAUCACUGAAGUCCCUCGAAAUAGAAAAUUCGAGUAAUGUCCUGUCGCCGACCGACAGUGAGAGUGAUGUCACAUACAAGAUACCAAUCGAAUGCCUCUCGAUCAGGUUUUGUGGUUCUGGUGAGAAGGAAUUGACACAGUUGCUCUCUCAUUUUCCAGAUCUCAGCGAUUUGGCAAUACUUGAUUGUGAAAAGAUAACAAGGGUUGGUGUGGUGGAGCAGCAGCAGCAGGCGACAAGAGGAGAGGAGGAAAUAGCGCUAGCAGCAGGAGAAGAAGCUGGACUUUUGCUCUCCCUCCUCUCCUCCUCCAUCACCAGCUUAAGCUUUAAUCACAAUCAUGAGGUGGAGCGCUUCACUAAGGAGCAAGAGGAUGCCCUUCAGCUCCUCACCUCCCUGGAGUACCUCAGUUUUCUAAAGUGCGGCAAGCUGCAGUGCCUCCCGGCAGGGCUACAUAGACUUUCUAGCCUCCAGACAUUGUGUAUUCAGCAUUGUGAGGCCAUCAAAUCGCUGCCCAAGGACGGCCUCCCAACUUCUCUGCAAUUUCUACAUAUCAUAGGCUGUCCUUCCUUGAAAUCGCUAACCAAGGAUGGCCUCCCUUCUUCUCUGGAAAAAUUAAGCAUCAUUGAUUGUCCUGCACUGAAAUCACUGCCCAGUCACGGCCUCCCAGACUCACUGCGAGUGUUACAUGUCGAAGAUGAUGGAAACAGCGAGGAGCUAAUGAGGCAGUGCCGCAAGUUGAAAGGAAUCAUUCCAAUAAUCAUAGACUGA